GCCUCGGUAGGCUCAGUCGGUUAGAGCAGAGGACUGAAAAUCCUUUCGUGUCGGCCGCGGUUCGAUUCCGUCCGAGCCACCA
rnacentral:tRNA from 1 species